rnacentral:ncRNA from 2 species
GCCCUUCUUCAGGGCAGGGUGCGAUUCCCGACCGGCGGUGACAACCCGCGAACCUUUCCGAGAGGCCGAUCCGGUGGAAAUCCGGAGUCGACGGUGACAGUCCGGAUGAGAGAAGAAGGGC